AGUCAAUAAUUAGCAACAUAGUGUUUUGAAAGCACUUAAUAGAGGUUAAAGUCCUCUAUUGACUU
rnacentral:tRNA from 1 species